UACGAAGGGGGCUAGCGUUGCUCGGAAUCACUGGGCGUAAAGGGUGCGUAGGCGGGUCUUUAAGUCAGGGGUGAAAUCCUGGAGCCCAACUCCAGAACUGCCUUUGAUACUGAAGAUCUUGAGUCCGGGAGAGGUGAGUGGAACUGCGAGUGUAGAGGUGAAAUUCGUAGAUAUUCGCAAGAACACCAGUGGCGAAGGCGGCUCACUGGCCCGGUACUGACGCUGAGACGCGAAAGCGUGGGGAGCGAACAGG
rnacentral:rRNA from 1 species